AGAGUUUGAUCAUGGCUCAGGACGAACGCUGGCGGCGUGCUUAACACAUGCAAGUCGAGCGAGGUCCAUCCAGUCGCAAGACUGGGGAAGACCUAGCGGCGAACGGGUGAGUAACACGUGAGCAACCUGCCCCGAAGUCUGGGAUAACACCGGGAAACCGGUGCUAAUACCGGAUGCCCUCCUCUGGUCGCAUGGCCUAAGGAGGAAAGAAUUUUGCUUCGGGAGGGGCUCGCGGGCUAUCAGCUUGUUGGUGGGGUAACGGCCCACCAAGGCGACGACGGCUAGCUGGUCUGAGAGGACGACCAGCCACACUGGGACUGAGACACGGCCCAGACUCCUACGGGAGGCAGCAGUGGGGAAUCUUGCGCAAUGGGCGAAAGCCUGACGCAGCAACGCCGCGUGGGGGAUGAAGGCCUUCGGGUUGUAAACCCCUUUCAGCAGGGACGAAACUGACGGUACCUGCAGAAGAAGCCCCGGCCAACUACGUGCCAGCAGCCGCGGUAAUACGUAGGGGGCGAGCGUUGUCCGGAUUUAUUGGGCGUAAAGAGCUCGUAGGCGGCUUGGCAAGUCGGGUGUGAAACCUCCAGGCUCAACCUGGAGACGCCACUCGAUACUGCUAUGGCUAGAGUCCGGUAGGGGACCACGGAAUUCCUGGUGUAGCGGUGAAAUGCGCAGAUAUCAGGAGGAACACCGGUGGCGA
rnacentral:rRNA from 1 species